AUUGAACGCUGGCGGAAUGCUUUACACAUGCAAGUCGAACGGUAGAGGGGGCAACCCCUUGAGAGUGGCGAACGGGUGAGUAAUAUAUCGGAACGUGCCCAGUCGUGGGGGAUAACGUAGUGAAAGUUACGCUAAUACCGCAUACGAUCUAUGGAUGAAAGCGGGGGAUCGCAAGACCUCGCGCGAUUGGAGCGGCCGAUAUCAGAUUAGGUAGUUGGUGGGGUAAAGGCUCACCAAGCCAACGAUCUGUAGCUGGUCUGAGAGGACGACCAGCCACACUGGGACUGAGACACGGCCCAGACUCCUACGGGAGGCAGCAGUGGGGAAUUUUGGACAAUGGGCGCAAGCCUGAUCCAGCCAUGCCGCGUGCAGGAUGAAGGCCUUCGGUUGUAAACUGCUUUGUACGGACGAAAAGGUUUGGCCUAAUAAGCUGAGCUCAUGACGGUACCGUAAGAAUAAGCACCGGCUAACU
rnacentral:rRNA from 1 species